rnacentral:rRNA from 1 species
UACGGAGGGGGCAAGCGUUAUUCGGAAUUAUUGGGCGUAAAGGGCGCGUAGGCGGCUAGAUGUGUCAAAGGUGAAAUCCCUCGGCUCAACUGAGGAACUGCCUUUGAAACUGUCUGGCUUGAGGCCGGGAGAGGGUAGCGGAAUUCCCAGUGUAGCGGUGAAAUGCGUAGAUAUUCGCAAGAACACCAGUGGCGAAGGCGGCUCACUGGCCCGAUACUGACGCUGAGGCACGAAAGCGUGGGGAGCAAACAGG